rnacentral:rRNA from 1 species
GACGAACGCUGGCGGCGUGCUUAACACAUGCAAGUCGAACGGUAAGGCCCUUCGGGGUACACGAGUGGCGAACGGGUGAGUAACACGUGGGUGAUCUGCCCUGCACUUCGGGAUAAGCCUGGGAAACUGGGUCUAAUACCGGAUAGGACCACUGCCUGCAUGGGGGGUGGUGGAAAGCUUUUGCGGUGUGGAAUGGGCCCGCGGCCUAUCAGCUUGUUGGUGGGGUGAUGGCCUACCAAGGCGACGACGGGUAGCCGGCCUGAGAGGGUGACCGGCCACACUGGGACUGAGAUACGGCCCAGACUCCUACGGGAGGCAGCAGUGGGGAAUAUUGCACAAUGGGCGCAAGCCUGAUGCAGCGACGCCGCGUGAGGGAUGACGGCCUUCGGGUUGUAAACCUCUUUCAGCACCGACGAAGCGCAAGUGACGGUAGGUGCAGAAGAAGGACCGGCCAACUACGUGCUAGCAGCAGCCGCCG